rnacentral:rRNA from 1 species
GACGAACGCUGGCGGCGUGCUUAACACAUGCAAGUCGAACGGAAAGGCCCUGCUUUUGUGGGGUGCUCGAGUGGCGAACGGGUGAGUAACACGUGAGUAACCUGCCCUUGACUUUGGGAUAACUUCAGGAAACUGGGGCUAAUACCGGAUAGGAGCUCCUGCUGCAUGGUGGGGGUUGGAAAGUUUCGGCGGUUGGGGAUGGACUCGCGGCUUAUCAGCUUGUUGGUGGGGUAGUGGCUUACCAAGGCUUUGACGGGUAGCCCGCCUGAGAGGGUGACCGGCCACACUGGGUCCGAGGUGCGGCAGCGGCUGCUACGGGAGGCAGCAGUGGGGAAUAUUGAAGAAUCGGCGGAGCGCGGGUGCAGCAGCGCCGCGUGUGGGAAGACGGUCUUAGGGUUGUAGACCGCUUUCGCCUGUGACGAAGCGUGAGUGACGGUAAUGGGUAAAGAAGCACCGGCUAACUACGUU